rnacentral:sRNA from 1 species
UCGGUUUGAAAUUCAGACCUUAUGAAAGCAGUUUUAGUAAAGCAGUCCUCAGUUCAAGCGUUAUCCAUCGAUACCCUUAUUCAUGAGUCCUCUUCUAAGUGCCAAAUAAGUCACUCGAAAUACAGGCCAUCAUCGUCACCUUGAGUGACUCAUUAAUUAAGGAAUUAUCUAUGUCUAAUAAAAUGACUGGUUUAGUAAAAUGGUUUAACGCAGAUAAAGGUUUUGGUUUCAUUACUCCUGACGACGGCAGCAAAGAUGUAUUCGUACAUUUCUCUGCAAUCCAGAGUGACAACUUCAAAACGCUUGAUGAAGGUCAGAAAGUCUCCUUCACCAUUGAAAGCGGCGCUAAAGGCCCAGCAGCGGGUAACGUUUCUCCGCUGUAAGUCGCGCCCAUUAUCA